rnacentral:tRNA from 31 species
UCCCCGGUAGCUCAGUCGGUAGAGCGGAUGACUGUUAAUCAUUAGGUCGGCGGUUCGAGCCCGUCCCGGGGAGCCA